GUAGCCCCUUUGUCAAUCGCAGCAGCAGCAGCACACACAAGUCCGGCUGCUGAUUUGCAAGAUUCUUAUUUGUGCUUGUACACCGUGUGCUGGCCAUAAGUAACACAGGUUGACGAAAGCGCCAUACGUAUCGUCCCCGUCUACCGCAUAAGGAUAAUGGAUAAUCAAUUGAACGACGCGUCUAUGUGUAAUUAUCAUAAACAAAAGUUCUCCGCACCGUCGUCGUCGUCUUCUUUCUUUCUUCGUCUUCUUCUUUGAUGGUGCAAGAAACUACAGAUGCCUACUUCCGCACUUACGUCAAUGGUUUUCCCACAAAUGACGACAUUGGGAAAGUUAAACAAAUUCAGGUAAAAAACGAAUGGAAAUUGACCAACUACUAAUAGCGGUGUAUAAUUUGUGCCUCAUUAUUAUUUAAUGUUCCAAGUACAUUUUGAUUAUUUUAUUCACCGUCACGUAGUCCCUAAAGAGUCCAAGAAACAACUUCCCUAUUGUCAAUGUUGAAUCUAUGUGAAUGUCAG